rnacentral:rRNA from 1 species
UAAGCGUACACGGUGGAUGCCCUGGCAGUCAGAGGCGAUGAAGGGCGUGCUAAUCUGCGAUAAGCGCCGGUAAGGUGAUAUGAACCGUUAUAACCGGCGAUACCCGAAUGGGGAAACCCAGUGUGAUUCGUCACACUAUCAUUAACUGAAUCCAUAGGUUAAUGAGGCGAACCGGGGGAACUGAAACAUCUAAGUACCCCGAGGAAAAGAAAUCAACCGAGAUUCCCCCAGUAGCGGCGAGCGAACGGGGAGGAGCCCAGAGCCUGAAUCAGCAUGUGUGUUAGUGGAAGCGUCUGGAAAGGCGCGCGAUACAGGGUGACAGCCCCGUACACAAAAGCGCAUGUGCUGUGAGCUCGAUGAGUAGGGCGGGACACGUGGUAUCCUGUCUGAAUAUGGGGGGACCAUCCUCCAAGGCUAAAUACUCCUGACUGACCGAUAGUGAACCAGUACCGUGAGGGAAAGGCGAAAAGAACCCCGGCGAGGGGAGUGAAAAAGAACCUGAAACCGUGU